UACCUAUUCAGGGUGAAAUGAUUACACCUGCAGAGGAAUCAAGUAGUUCUCUUCAGGGUUUUUAGCAUUCAUUGCUGCAAAACAGUGACGGGCACUCUUUUGAUAAAGCUUUCCCUUAUGCAUUCAGUAUUCUAAACAUUGAAGGUCUCAUGUUGGAGUUCAUGUUUCAAGUAAUGGUACUUGGCUGGUUUUUAGAGAGGGAGAAUUUGCACCCAAAACUUGUAGGAACUGUGCUUGCAUGCUCUAUACUUCUGUGGGGAAAUAGUGGGUUAGUCUAGCGGUAUCUCUUUUCAAAAGCCAUUGCUACUUUCAAGGUAGUUGUGUGCACCUGAUUUUAGACCCUUUGUUUGCAAACAUGAAGGAACAGAGGAUGAAUUCAUCAUCUCAUCAGAUGAGAAGGGGUCGAUUGAGCUGUGGAUACUGUGGUGAGAGGUGAAGUGUUGGAAGGAGAGUUGGAGACAGAACAAGAGGUCUCAACAAGAGCCAUGAGCAUUUAGCUAUUGUUGGCUUGUGUAAAAUCUCCUCUUUAUAUAUAUAUAUAUAUAUAUAUAUAUAUAUCUCAUUGGAAAGUUGGUGCAAUCAUCUCUUGUAAAACACAGCAAGGCUUCUGUUCAAUUGGAAGGGGAAAAAAAAAACAAUGAAAAGAAAAACUGGGAGGAAAAAUGUACAUGCUCAUUUAGAAACUGUAGCUUGUAUAAAACAUUUUUCUCAUUCAAGGAAACGGGGUUCACAUUUUACCUCAUUCAAUGCUCCACGCGCAA